GGACUACUAGGGUAUCUAAUCCUGUUUGCUCCCCUUGCUCUCGCGCCUCAGCGUCAGGAAAAAGCUAGAAAACCGCUUUCGCCACAGGUGUUCCUCCACAUAUCCACGCAUUUCACCGCUACAUGUGGAAUUCCGUUUUCUCCGCCAUUCCUCUUAAGAUUUACAGUAUCAAAUGCAGUUCCAAGGGUGAGCCAUGGAAUUUCACAUCUGACUUAUAAAUCCGCCUACGCGCCCUUUACGCCCAAUAAUUCCGAUUAAUGCUUGCACCCUACGUAUUACCGCGGCUGCUGGCAC
rnacentral:rRNA from 1 species